UCAGGCCUAACACAUGCAAGUCGAACGAGAUUAUAGGGUAAGCUUGCUUACCUUAUAUGACAGUGGCGCACGGGUGCGUAACGCGUAUGCAAUCUACCUUAAUCAGGGGGAUAGCCUCUCGAAAGAGAGAUUAAUACCGCAUAACAUUAUGAUAUGGCAUCAUAUUAUAAUCAAACAUUUAUGGGAUUAAGAUGAGCAUGCGUGACAUUAGCUAGUUGGUGAGGUAACGGCUCACCAAGGCAACGAUGUCUAGGGGAUCUGAGAGGAUGACCCCCCACACUGGUACUGAGACACGGACCAGACUCCUACGGGAGGCAGCAGUAAGGAAUAUUGGUCAAUGGACGCAAGUCUGAACCAGCCAUGCCGCGUGCAGGAAGACGGCCCUAUGGGUUAAAGCUGCUUUUAUACGGGAAUAAACCUUCUUUCGUGAAAGAAGCUGAA
rnacentral:rRNA from 1 species